rnacentral:piRNA from 1 species
UGACCUAGAGAUGCUUCAGAGCCAUGUUCC